UACGGGGGGGGCAAGCGUUGUUCGGAAUUACUGGGCGUAAAGGGCUCGUAGGUGGCCAACUAAGUCGGACGUGAAAUCCCUCGGCUUAACCGGGGAACUGCGUCUGAUACUGGAUGGCUUGAGUUUGGGAGAGGGACGCAGAAUUCCAGGUGUAGCGGUGAAAUGCGUAGAUAUCUGGAGGAACACCGGUGGCGAAGGCGGCGUCCUGGACCAACACUGACACUGAGGAGCGAAAGCCAGGGGAGCAAACGGG
rnacentral:rRNA from 1 species